AGAGUCCACAUCGACGGGGAGGUUUGGCACCUCGAUGUCGGCUCAUCACAUCCUGGGGCUGUAGUAGGUCCCAAGGGUUGGGCUGUUCGCCCAUUAAAGUGGUACGCGAGCUGGGUUCAGAACGUCGUGAGACAGUUCGGUCCCUAUCCGUCGCAGGCGUAGGACAUUUGAGAAGACCUGUCCUUAGUACGAGAGGACCGGGAUGGACGUACCUCUGGUGUACCAGUUGUCCUGCCAAGGGCAUGGCUGGGUAGCUAUGUACGGAAUGGAUAAGCGCUGAAAGCAUCUAAGCGCGAAGCCAACUUCAAGAUAAGAUUUCCCACCGCAAGGGUAAGACCCCAGAAAGACUAUCUGGUUGAUAGGUCGAAGGUGUAAGUGCAGCAAUGUAUUUAGCUUAUCGAUACUAAUAGGUCGAGGACUUGACCAAU
rnacentral:rRNA from 1 species